AAAAUGACUCUCAGCAAC
rnacentral:rRNA from 1 species